rnacentral:rRNA from 1 species
GACGAACGCUGGCGGCGUGCUUAACACAUGCAAGUCGAACGGAAAGGCCCUGCUUUUGUGGGGUGCUCGAGUGGCGAACGGGUGAGUAACACGUGAGUAGCCUGCCCUUGACUUUGGGAUAACUUCAGGAAACUGGGGCUAAUACCGGAUAGGAGCUCCUGCUGCAUGGUGGGGGUUGGAAAGUUUCGGCGGUUGGGGAUGGACUCGCGGCUUAUCAGCUUGUUGGUGGGGUAGUGGAUGACCAAGGCUUUGACGGGUAGCCGGCCUGAGAGGGUGACCGGCCACAUUGGGACUGCGAUACGGCCCAGACUCCUACGGGAGGCAGCAGUGGGGAAUAUUGCACAAUGGGCGGAAGCCUGAUGCAGCAACGCCGCGUGCGGGAUGACGGCCUUCGGGUUGUAAACCGCUUUCGCCUGUGACGAAGCGUGAGUGACGGUAAUGGGUAAAGAAGCACCGGCUAACUACGUG